rnacentral:rRNA from 1 species
UACGUAGGGGGCUAGCGUUGUCCGGAAUCAUUGGGCGUAAAGAGCGUGUAGGCGGCCCGAUAAGUCCGCUGUGAAAGUCCAGGGCUCAACCCUGGGAUGCCGGUGGAUACUGUCGGGCUCGAGUCCGGAAGAGGAGUGUGGAAUUCCUGGUGUAGCGGUGAAAUGCGCAGAUAUCAGGAGGAACACCAAUGGCGAAGGCAGCACUCUGGGACGUGACUGACGCUGAGGCACGAAAGCGUGGGGAGCAAACAGG